rnacentral:rRNA from 1 species
AGCAGCCGCGGUAAUUCCAGCUCCAAUAGCGUAUAUUAAAGUUGUUGCAGUUAAAAGCUCGUAGUUGAAUUUCGGGAUUGGCGCAUCGGUCGUGCCUUACGGGGUAUGAACUGGUGCAGUCAAUUUCUCACCUUCUGGAGAACCGCGAUGUCCUUAAUUGGGUGCCGCGGGGAACCAGGACCUUUACUUUGAAAAAAUUAGAGUGUUUAAAGCAGGCAUUUUUGCUUGAAUACAUUAGCAUGGAAUAAUAAAAUAGGACGGCAUGGUUCUAUUUUGUUGGUUUCUAGGACCACCGUAAUGAUUAAUAGGGAUAGUUGGGGGCAUUAGUAUUCAAUUGUCAGAGGUGAAAUUCUUGGAUUUAUUGAAGACUAACUACUGCGAAAGCAUUUGCCAAGGAUGUUUUCAUUAAUCAAGAACGAAAGUUAGGGGAUCGAAGACGAUCAGAUACCGUCGUAGUCUUAACCAUAAACUAUGCCGACUAGGAAUCAGACGAUGUUAAUUUUUUAAUGACUCGUUUGGC